CUUUCCAACACCUUUCUCAGUUAUUUUCGCCAUUGUGGGUUUACUUGUCCUCAGCACACUGAUUUGGCUGAAGCAAAUGGUCAAAAGUCCACACAUACCUCAGUCUCAGCAAUUACAGGUCAACCAAAGCAGUAUUCUCUAAUACAGUGGACUUGCAAGUACUGCACAUUUUCUGCUGAAAAGAGCCUACUUGCUUAAGCAUUACCGCUUAAAACAUGGAUACCACACUCGGACAUCCCUACUCCCAUGUCUUCAUAAGGACUGCCUCUGCACAUUUAAAUCUUUUAAUGCACUCAAAGUACACCUAUCGACAUGGCACUCUCAAAAAGAUGCAGGCAAAAGUGGAGAAACUGCAUUUGACCGUCAGUUGUGCAACUUUGUGGAGCCCUGCUCAGGAGCAGACUUCUUUACCCAUUUGCGAGGACAUCUUAAGCUGAGGCAAAUGGUUACUUGCCCAUAUCAAGACUAACUUUCAGAGCAGUAUUUAUUCGACCUUCACUGCACACAAAAGCAAAGAAAUGUGAAAUGUGUUUGAGCCAUAGUGUGGGUAGGACAUUUGUGUCUAAAUCAUUCAAUCCCAAUAAAAGUUGCUUUAAUAAAAAAAAACUUAUUUUUAAUCAAAGAAAAAGAACCUUUUGCAAAAAUAUAUUUUUUUGAAAAUAUAUAUAUUUUUAAAUAUAUAUAUUUUUUAUUGACGUGUCACUUUUUUUAAAGGAAAAAGUUUAAAACUUUUUUUUUAAAGUGGAAAAAGUUUUGAACGCAUUUCUCUUUUUCUUUU